rnacentral:rRNA from 1 species
UACGGGGCGCAGCAGGCGCGAAACCUUUACACUGCACGAACGUGCGAUAAGGGGACUCCGAGUGCGAGGGCAUACAGUCCUCGCUAUUGUGUACCGUAGGGUGGUACACGACCAAGAGCUGGGCAAGACCGGUGCCAGCCGCCGCGGUAAUACCGGCAGCUCGAGUGAUGGCCGAUUUUAUUGGGCCUAAAGCGUCCGUAGCU